UACGGGGGGGGCAAGCGUUGUUCGGAAUUACUGGGCGUAAAGGGCGCGUAGGUGGCCUGCUAAGCGUGCGGUGAAAGCUCGGGGCUCAACCCCGAGUCGGCCGUCGAUACUGUUGGGCUGGAGCACUGUAGAGGCAGGUGGAAUUCCAGGUGUAGCGGUGAAAUGCGUAGAUAUCUGGAGGAACACCGGUGGCGAAGGCGGCGUUCUGGGACUGUUUCUGACACUGAGGAACGAAAGCCAGGGGAGCAAACGGG
rnacentral:rRNA from 1 species